AAUUACAUCUUACACAACAAACAAACAAAUUUUCUUUUUAUUUUAUGCUUAAAAACAAGUUAAAAUAAAAUUUACGUUAAUAUCAAAAUCUGUUUUCCCCAUUUAGAGCCUAAAAAAAUAGUCGAAUUUCUCAUUAAAUACAAGAAGUUAUGGGCUGAAAAAUAAGAUCCACAAUCAACGUUAAAUGGUGGUGAUAGUAUUCAUCUUAUUAAAAAAUAUGUCUAAUCGCUUGUUUAAAUAAUAAAAACAAACAAUUCUAGUAGUAGAAAAAGUCCAACCAUCCAUCCAUAUUUCUGUUACUGACUGCGAAUUUAUAUUAGUCCUUGCUAUGUUAAAUGUAAGCGGCCGCCAUUUUUAAAGUGGUGUAUUUCACUGGAUGAAAAUAAUUGUGUUUGAUUCAGAGGGAUAUCAUUUGGAUUUGUUAGUCAUACACCUUUUUAAAAGAAAGAAAACUUAUUGAGGAUUGUAACAGACAAUAAAUAAGUGUUGACAGAUGUGUAAACAUUCAAACAAGUGGAUAGGAAAUUGGAAAACUUGGAAGCCUUACGAACGCUGGGUUGUUUUACAUAUUCUUCGACUGAAAGCUGCCAUUGCUUUUUAAGGUUUUCAUAAAGCAUACGGCAGUUUUUGCUCGUAGGAUACUUAAAUAUUCCCAAAUGUCGUCAAGAGCAGUUUUGCAUGUGGAAGGAAUGUAUUUUUCAGACUGUAAAAAUGAAACAAAAAAAUUAAAGAGAGGAUAUUUGGUGAUUGGUAAUUUGAAUGAAUAGAAGUAAGUUACUGUAAGUUUUCUUCUUUUUAUUACCUUUUACAUAUAAGUUAUUUAUCAAUUUCAGGUUUGCUUUUCUUUAAACAGCCUGACAUUGUCGGAAUAGUCACCAUAAAUAAAAUUGAGGUACCACAUGGGGAAAAUCUUAAAAAAGUAGUUUCGUCAUUGAAAAGUGUGAAAUUAUAUUUUGAUAAUUUUCACUGUGAAAUUAUCAAAUAUAAUUUCCACGGAUAAAUCAGUAAUCCACUGAAAAGCAUAAAAUAACAGAGACUAUUCUAUAGAAAUAGUCAUCAUUAUUAGCGAUCUUUAAGCAUUCUUUUCCUCAGCUAAAUGUUAAUGCAUAAACAACGUCUUGUAAAACUUAACACGAUCGUUUUUCUCUAUACGUUUUACUAUCAAAUCAAGUUGGUUUUUUGGAGGGGCUAUUUCCAGGGACACAAAAUGCAAAAUCUUAUUUGCGCAACGAAGCAAUAAGCCAUAUCUGAAAUAAAUCAUGGCUAUGAAGGCUGUCUGAAGAUUUUUUAUUCUUAUUUGCCUUUAAUGCAUCUUUAUUAUUAUUAUGUAAAUUUUGUUAAUGUAAUUAAAUAAGCUUUUAACUCUGAAUAUAUUCAGUGAUAAGCAGGUAGUUGAGAUAUAAGUUCGCUACAUUGAUAUCAUUAUCCAAAACUGGGAACAUUUUUGAGCACGCAAGAAGUUUGGAAAACAGAAGGGAAUUAAUUCUCGUGCUCGUAAGCAAUCAUGUUUAAACUGCUGGCAGUGUGCUUAUUAGCCUUUGCAGUUGCAAAACGGAAUCAAAAUGUCCAAGCUGACAGUGACGUAAACGACUUGAAUGACGUAGAAAAAAGGUUGUUACAAACCCUAGAGGAUGCGAUG